AAGUCGUAACAAGGUUUCCGUAGGUGAACCUGCGGAAGGAUCAUUAUUGAAUUCCAACCGGGUGAGGUUGUGCUGGCCCUCAGGGGCAUGUGCACACCUCGCUCAUCAAUAUCUCAUACCUCUGUGCACUUUUCAUAGGAUAGCUUGUGGCUGCUGAUUUUUAUAUCAACAGUUACAGUUGUUCUGUGCUUUUUAUAAACUUUUAAACCAGUCAAGAAUGUUCAUUGUGUGUAUACACAUUUUAAUACAACUUUCAGCAACGGAUCUCUUGGCUCUC
rnacentral:misc_RNA from 1 species